AACACAGCAAAGGGUCGAAUGGGAGGAAUUCUACAUUGUCACACUUGCACCACGUCAUCAAUAACAAGCCAAUCACAUUCAUCCUUUUCAAACAAAAGUACAAUAAAAAUACUUUUUUACAAUCAUAAUGGGACAUAUAUUCUUAAAAGGAUUAAUUUGAUUGGUUUGUUACGCCACGUCACUAAUAUACCCGUUGCAUUCUAGAAUUUUUCGUCGAAUGGGCACCGCUCUCC
rnacentral:lncRNA from 1 species